CUUUAACUUUUCAGAUUCAAUAUAUUGCCUGCAAAAAUAUGCCUCAAUGAUUGAGCCAGGCUACCAACCACCUCCGGAUGAUUAUAUAUAAGAAUUACUACUCAAAAAAUCUUUUUUAUAAUAAAAGCUCAACACAUGGUCAUAAAUGAUAAAAAAUAUU
rfam:Salmonella enterica subsp. enterica serovar Enteritidis str. LA5, WGS project CAGR02000000 data, contig: Scaffold12-Contig2